rnacentral:lncRNA from 1 species
CCUGCUUGCCUGGUGACUAGGGACUUGUGACUGGGUGCUGGCCAGCCAGCCCGCUUGCUUGCCUACGAGCCUUCCCUAGUCACGGACUGUCGCAUACCGAGAAUAAGUCUAAGUCAUGCACCGUGACUGACACAGCUCGGUUCAGGUGACCCACGAGCCUUCCCUAGACACGGACGUUGACUGGGAGCUCGUGAGUCGCGACUCGUGACUGGUGACUGGUGACUGGGGGCUCGUGAGUCGCGACUCUUGACUUGUGACUGGUGACUCGUGACUGGUGACUGGGAGCUCGUGCGUCGCGACUCGUGACUAGUGACUGGUGACUGGGGGCUGGUGACUGGGGGCUCGUGAGUCGCGACUCGUUACUGGUUACUUGGGGCUCGUGAGUCGCGACUGGUGACUGGUGACUGGGGGCUCGUGAGUCGCGACUGGUGGCUGGGGACUGGGGGCUGGUGACUGGUGACUGGGGGCUCGUGAGUCGCGACUGGUGGCUGGGGACUGGGGGCUGGUGACUGGUGACUGGGGGCUCGUGAGUCGCGACUCGUGACUGGUGACUGGGGUCUGGGGGCUGGUGACUGGUGGCUGGGGACUGGGGGCUGGUGACUGGUGACUGGGGGCUCGUGAGUCGCGACUCGGGACUGGUGACUUGGGGCUCGUGAGUCGCGACUGGGGACUGGGGGCUGGUGACUGGUGACUGGGGGCUGGGGGCUGGGGACUGGGGGCUGGGGGCUCGUGAGUCGCGACUCGUGACUGGGUGCAGGCCAGCCAGCCAGCCUGCUUGCCUGGGGACUGGGGACUUGUAACUUGGUGCUGGCCAGCCAGCCAACCAGCAGGCCUGCUUGUCUGGUGACUAGGGACUUGUGACUGGGUGCUGGCCAGCCAGCCAGCCAGCAGUCCUGCUUGCCUGGUGACUAGGGACUUGUGACUGGGUGCUGGCCAGCCAGCCAGCCAGCAGUCCUGCUUGCCUGGUGACUAGGGACUUGUGACUGGGUGCUGGCCAGCCAGCCAGCCAGCAGUCCUGCUUGCCUGGUGACUAGGGACUUGUGACUGGGUGCUGGCCAGCCAGCCCGCUUGCUUGCCUACGAGCCUUCCCUAGUCACGGACUGUCGCAUACCGAGAAUAAGUCUAAGUCAUGCACCGUGACUGACACAGCUCGGUUCAGGUGACCCACGAGCCUUCCCUAGACACGGACGUUGAAUAAGUCUUUGCCAAAAAAUGUCCACGACUACCAAGGCUUACGAGCCCUUGAUUUGGUUGACACUGGUGAAGGGGCCCCAAUACCUCGAGAGCAUACGAAAUAGCUUACCACAACUAGGACAACAUCUACCCGUGAGAUGCCAAUUCCUGUCCGAGUCAUGUUCACUACCACCUAAACCCGGGAGGAGCAGUCCAUGACUAAGGUGUUAGGGACAUUCCAAGCCAGCCAACCAAGCUCACGAGCACUCCCAGCCAGUUUCAGAGCUGGACGAGGCUGCCCAGGACAUCCCGUA